rnacentral:rRNA from 1 species
UUGUAAGUGUCACUUUCAAUAGGAUGUGACUACCUACCGGUUAAUACCCAGGUAGACUGACAUUACCUAUACAAGAUGCACCGGCUAACUCCGUG